AUUGAACGCUGGCGGCAUGCCUUACACAUGCAAGUCGAACGGUAACGGGCCUUCGGGUGCCGACGAGUGGCGAACGGGUGAGUAAUGUAUCGGAACGUACCUUUCAUGGGGGAUAACGUAGCGAAAGUUACGCUAAUACCGCAUAUUCUGUGAGCAGGAAAGCAGGGGAUCGCAAGACCUUGCGCUGAUUGAGCGGCCGAUAUCAGAUUAGCUAGUUGGUGAGGUAAAGGCUCACCAAGGCGACGAUCUGUAGCGGGUCUGAGAGGAUGAUCCGCCACACUGGAACUGAGACACGGUCCAGACUCCUACGGGAGGCAGCAGUGGGGAAUUUUGGACAAUGGGGGCAACCCUGAUCCAGCCAUGCCGCGUGAGUGAAGAAGGCCUUCGGGUUGUAAAGCUCUUUCGGCCGGGAAGAAAUCGUAUGGGUUAAUACCCUGUGCGGAUGACGGUACCGGCAUAAGAAGCACCGGCUAACUACGUG
rnacentral:rRNA from 1 species